ACCUUCAUGCCCGGGCCCGGCCGGGGAAGGGGCCAGUCGCCGGACGGGGUGGAGCUGAGGAAGGGCGGGAUCCAAUCAGAGCUCCAGGCUGCCGCUUUAUUUGCAUACAGGGGACCGGACGCCGGCCGGUGGGGAGACGUCGGAAGGAAGGCCGGCACCCCAGGUUGCCAGGCAAGGGAGAUGCAGCCCCUCACUGGUCUGGAUUGCAUCCCGGAAUGUCAUAAUAUCAUAAACCAAUUAGAGUCAGUAAUGUCAUUCCACUGUCUUCAGUGGAGUUUCUCCUGAUUUACAAGACUAUAAGUAAGAGGAGGAACAAGCCACCCUGGGAAGCCCCUACGGCAACAUGACCAACCAACUCCCUCACAUCAUAAGCUGUUUGCAUCAAGAGUGGCUUCAGCUACUGGCACAAGUGGGAGGUAUGAGAAAAUGAUGUGACUGUGCAAGGGAGAACACUGCUCUAGUAGAUGUGGGAUUCUCCCCAUUCUAAAACAGAGAGAAGAAUGAUGAUCAUUAUUAAUUAGGCUCUGUGUGAUGAAUUAUUGUACACAUUUGUAUUUAUUAUCCUGCUUUUUGCAUC